GGCCCAUUCGUCUAGAGGCCUAGGACGCGGCCCUCUCAAGGCUGAAACAGGGGUUCGAAUCCCCUAUGGGCCAUCA
rnacentral:tRNA from 1 species